rnacentral:rRNA from 1 species
GACGAACGCUGGCGGCGUGCCUAAUACAUGCAAGUCGAACGCAGUGGGGACGGUUGAUUAACACGUGGGUAACCUCCCAUCAGAGGGGAUAACACUUGGAAACAGGUGCUAAACCGCUACUGAUGGAUGGACCCGCGGUGCAUUAGCUAGUUGGUGAGGUAACGGCGCACCAAGGCCACGAUGCAUAGCCGAACUGAGAGGGUGAUAGGCAACACUGGGACUGAGACACGGACCAGACUCCUACGGGAGGCAGAAGUAGGGAAUCGUCGGCAAUGGACGAAAGUCUGACGGAGCAACGCCGCGUGAGUGAAGAAGGUUUUCGGAUCGUAAAACUCUGUUGGUAGAGAAGCGGUAUCUAAACAGAAAGCCACGGCUAACUACGUGCCAGCAGCCGCGGUAAUUC